AGUUCUCCCUGAGACUUAAAGUCUCCUGAAGGAACGUUGAAGACGACGACGUUGAUAGGCCGGGUGUGUAAGCGCAGCGAUGCGUUGAGCUAACCGGUACUAAUGAACCGUGAGGCUUAACCUUAC
rnacentral:rRNA from 1 species